rnacentral:rRNA from 1 species
UACGGGAGGCAGCGGUGGGGAAUAUUGCACAAUGGGCGCAAGCCUGAUGCAGCCAUGCCGCGUGUAUGAAGAAGGCCUUCGGGUUGUAAAGUACUUUCAGUCGUGAGGAAGGUGUUAAGGUUAAUAACCUUAGCAAUUGACGUUAGCGACAGAAGAAGCACCGGCUAACUCCGUGCCAGCAGCCGCGGUAAUACGGAGGGUGCGAGCGUUAAUCGGAAUUACUGGGCGUAAAGGGCACGCAGGCGGUUAAUUAAGUUGGAUGUGAAAUCCCCGGGCUUAACCUGGGAAUGGCAUUCAAGACUGGUUAGCUAGAGUCUUGUAGAGGGGGGUUAGAAUUCCAUGUGUAGCGGUGAAAUGCGUAGAGAUGUGGAGGAAUACCGGUGGCGAAGGCGGCCCCUGGACAAAGACUGACGCUCAUGUGCGAAAGCGUGGGGAGCAAACAGGGAUUAGAUACC